GCUCCACCACAGUGCUCGGAUUCUUUAAGCAUUUGGUGCUGGCAGCAAUUGCAGUUUCCCUCGUCCCAUUACAGCUGUCUGGAAGUGGACAUGUGCUGCGAUCGUCACAGAGGUUGAUGUCCAAAACUGGAGUGUUUUGCUCAGGACUGAAGGUAGCUACAAAACUCGUGGCAUUUUCUACUCCAGCAGAAGUCAGAACUUUCCUUGCCCUGCCUCCAAACCUGCAGGAGCCCACCUACAGCCAGGGACAGCACUGGGACGGAUGUAGGGAGCUGGAGGCAGCCCUUGAGGAUGUCAGAAUGAAUAAGGAGAAGUGAUAACAAGCACUGGAUGAGACUUCUGGAAAGUUCUCUUCUCAGUGGAAUAAAUGGAGUUAUGGCCUACUCAAGUUAUAUCUGUGCCUUUUUCUUUGUGGUCAUUCAGGAAAAUUGAUCUUUCUGGAGUAGGAGAAAGCUUGUCUGUGGGGGAGAGGGCUCAUUUCAAGUGUAAGGAAUGAACUUGCCAGAAGUUAACACAAAUCUCACCUUGUACUGCCUCAAAUUCUGAGUGCAUUUCUUAGAUACAGGAUAAUAAUGAGGGAAUUCCACAAUGUGUAUGUAAAUGUCUUCCAAAAAAUCAACCACAAAUUUUGGAGACUGAACAUAUGACAAAUAUAAUUCACUUGGCUUAGCGCCCUAAUGGAAGGCUCAGAUCAAUGCGCUGCUGAAACCUUUGUAGAUUAUAACAGGUCCUAGUGAAGUCAGGGAAUAUAUUUCCAUACACUUCAGGGAGGCCAGAUUUUAACCCCAGAUACUCUGAGCCUUAAAAUCUGAGCAGACUCCAUAAAUUUCAGUGCAUGUUCAAGAUGUAAGAGUUUAGAUAAGCUCCACAUCAGCGCUGAAGAAAGCUGCCCUGGUAUCCUGGCUGCUUUCUGGGCAGUCUACUUUGACUUGGUCACUUUUAUUCUGUUAUAAAGCCUCUACUUCUCAAGAACUAUUAGGCAAUUUUGAUUUGAAUUUUAUGCCUGUGAAUGGUGAACAGGCAGCUCUGCAGGGCAGACCCCCUGACCCCCUCCAUUCAUCAAGGCAUCCCACUGAAGUGCAGAGCUGGGGCUGCUGCUCCUGCAGUAGCUCUGCAGGGGUUAUCAGCAUCCACAGAUGUAUUUGGAAGCAUUUGGAUGGCUUCAUUUUAUUGAGAAAUGCCUGUAAUGCAGCACUGUAUAUAGAUUAAUCUGCUCUUGUUUUCCUGGCAGAGAUGUAGAUGUGCCUCUCUACCUGCAGCCCUGGGCUGUGACAGCGCUGUGGUGCCUGCUGUGGGGUCCUGGGCCACACUGCUGGCUUGAGGCGCCGUGACCGCAGACAGCUCCACUGGCUGGAGAGGUUGGCCAUGCCAUCUUUAUCAUGUGGGCUCUCCUCAGCCUCGGGGAAGGCAUCUGCUCAGCUGAGCCCCAGCAAGGGCUGUGCUCUGCAGCCUCCCAGAGUGUUCAGACUUUAUAGUAUCUCUCCCAACAGCCUUUCAAAGCACUUGGAAGCUUGAUGCGAUUUCAAACACUACAGAUUGACUUACAGUAUGGGAUAUAGUAUUUUUACUUGCGCCUAAAAACGUUGUUGUGCGGCCAAAAAUUCAAUCGCCAAGAAAUCACACAUGGUUCACAACACAGCUCUUUGAUAACAUUAAAAGUAUAUGUAAUAUUUUGAAAUCACUGGCCAAUUAUUUCUAAUAGUUUCAUGAUAAUUUAUGCAGGGAACCUCUCUGUUGGAUGUGUUCCUGCUUUGGUCUAAAUGUAUUUCUGAACACUCUGUCAAACAUCCCCAUUUGGCACCUAUUUUGUUUCACUGAAUUUCUUUAGUAUGUCCAGAUCUCUUGCCAAUGUAUUUGCAGAACACAUUUUGACAGCUUUGUCACCAAAUUUGUUACUUCUUGUGUUUGGAAUGCGUACCAAAUUGCAGAUAUUAAUGUGUGUGUGUUCCCUUUUGGUAUAGAUUCAACUGGAUAAUACCUUUGUCUUCUGUGGUGAUGAAUAUAAUAAAGGGAG